UGAAACCUGAUACUGCAAAUUUCACAGCCUCUUCUAGGUUCCUGAGGAGGCCUGGCUGAGCUCCGUGUCUAACAGGCCUCCAGCCUACACGCAGCCUGCCCUCCUGCCCUGGAGACUCCAGCUCCUGCUGUGACCCUAAGCCGGCCCUACCCACUCUGGGCGAGUCGUCUCCCAUCUGUGUGUGUGAGAGCUUCUUUGACUGUCCUCCUGAGUAGCAGGCCCUCUGCCCCCGUGAACCACAGCAGUGACACAGAAGGAUUCUGAAAGAAAACCGAUAAAAUGCACCUAAGCCAUCCAAAAAAAAAAAAGAAAAAAAAAGCAGAAUCCGUGCGCGAAGGAGCUGCAACAUGGAAAACGGGCCAGAGGCACGUAAGAGAGGAUGUGGGGAGACCACUUAGGAGGCCGUUGUGGUCCAGGGAAGAAGGACGGUGGUUUGGAUUUGGAUGGGGCAGUGACGAUGCAAAGCGCUGCACACGGUCCAAAGCGACUGAGGCAAUAAGAUGGGGAGAGAUGUGGUCAUCUGGCCACGGAGGCUCAGGGGGAGAGGUGUCAAAGGCCUCCAAGUUUCUGAGGGGCACAGCUGGCUGGUGCCUCUCACCGGGCGCUGGCCAGGGCUGCCGCCGGACGGGACAGGACGCCCAUCCAUCAGCAAAUCCUGGUAACUGUGCCUUCAAAACACAUCCUGAACUGGACCACCUGUCACCACCUUUGCCACUGCCGCCCCAGUCCACCUCCUGGAUUUCCGCAGGAGCCUCCUAAUUGCCUCCGUGCCUCCACCUCUAGCCCCUCCAGCCUGUUCCCAACAAAGCAGCCAGACGGCCCUUUGAAAAUAUAAGAGCCUGUCGCUUCCGUGUUGAA